GGGCUGCAGUAUAUUGACUGUACAAAGGUAGCAUAAUCAUUAGUCAUUUAAUUGAUGACUUGUAUGAAAGAUUGGAUGAAAUAUAAGCUGUCUCUUUAUUAUUUAUAGAAUUUAAUUUUUUAAUUAAAAAGUUAAAAUAAAUUAAAAAGACGAGAAGACCCUAUAGAGUUUUAUAUUUAAAUUAAUUAAGAUUAUUUAUAAAUUUUUUAAUUAAAAUUAAUUUAUAUAUUUUGUUGGGGUGAUAAAAAAAUAAGAAUAACUUUUUUUUAAGAUUAACAUAUAUAAGUGAUUUAAUGAUCCAAUAUUAUUGAUUAUAAGAAAAAAUUACCUUAGGGAUAACAGCGUAAUUUUUUUUUUUAGUUCAAAUAAAAAAAAGAGUUUGCGACCUCGAUGUUGGAUUAAGAUAAAAUUUAAAUG
rnacentral:rRNA from 2 species